UGGAGCCUGCAGCUUAAUUUGAUUCAAUACGGAAAAAUUGAUUCGGUCCGGACACGGGGAAGAUUGACAAAUUAAGAGGUCUUUUCUGAUUCAGUGGGCGGUGUAAAACCGUUCUUAGUUCAUGGGAAAAGAUUUGUCUGGUUAGUUCCAAUAAAGAAAAGGCUCUAAAUUGAUGUUUUUCGAUCGUAUCGAGGGCACAUUCUUCUUAGAGGACCAGAGAGGUCCUCAGUCACAAUUGUGAUUGUUUAUUAACGUCACACUGAGAAGAAACCUUAAGUUUAUGUUGGUGACGGACUUUAUAAUUUUGUGCUUCGGUCAAGUGAUGAGGACGACACCUAAGCUGCAUCUCCUCUCUAAACUUUCACAUCCCACCAGUGUAGGUAUUUAAUGCCCUUAAGUGUCCAGAGCCAUCUGCGCACUAUAUUAAAGAUAUCAAUUGGGGCUUUCGCUGACCUAAAAGACUGGGUAUCCAGUUAAAAUUCUUUCGUGCUGGGAAAUAGGGUAAUGUAAUUUCCCCCUUGAACAACGAAUUUUCAAUACACAUGUCUCAUAAGCUCGUGUUAACAAAGUACCAUCACUUUAGACAUACUAUUCGUCGUUACUGCCGAUUGCUUUAGACAGGCUUCGAAACUGGUGCUUUAAUUUCUCCCUUUGUUAAUUGAGCCGAGGUGCUGUAAAGAUGGUCGAACUUGGUUAUUUAGUGGCAGUAAAGUCAUAAGAUUUUCGUGGGUGAACCUGUGGAAGUAUG